AAUUUCAGUACAACUGAAGACUGGUGGCUGAAGGCGAGGGAGGGAAUCCCGAAACCAAUGAGGAAGAACUUUGAUACAAUUAUCAUUCUUGUACACUGGAGGAUCUGGAAGGAAAGGAACGCGAGGAUAUUUGAUAAUGCGAGCUGCACAGCAGACAAAGUUCGGGACUUGGUAAUUGAGGAUAUAGGCAUUUGGAGAUCCGCGGGCUGUAUCAGCGACCUGACGGCCUGA
rnacentral:rRNA from 1 species